AGAUUGAACGCUGGCGGCAUGCCUUACACAUGCAAGUCGAACGGCAGCACGGGGGCAACCCUGGUGGCGAGUGGCGAACGGGUGAGUAAUGCGUCGGAACGUGCCCAGUAGUGGGGGAUAACUAGUCGAAAGAUUAGCUAAUACCGCAUACGACCUAUGGGUGAAAGCGGGGGAUUCGCAAGAACCUCGCGCUAUCGGAGCGGCCGAUGUCUGAUUAGCUAGUUGGCGGGUAAAAGCCCACCAAGGCUUCGAUCAGUAGCUGGCCUGAGAGGACGACCAGCCACACUGGGACUGAGACACGGCCCAGACUCCUACGGGAGGCAGCAGUGGGGAAUUUUGGACAAUGGGCGCAAGCCUGAUCCAGCCAUGCCGCGUGCGGGAAGAAGGCCUUCGGUAGUAACCGCUUUUGGCAGGAACGAACGGCGCGAGCGAAUAUCUCGUACGUUAAUGACCGGUACUGCAGUAAGUAAGACACCGGACUAACCUACGUCG
rnacentral:rRNA from 1 species